ACCCUAAAAAUUGCCGCACCUAACGCUACACGUCACCUAAUCUCCACCGUCAAUACAACUAUCAACCGUUCAUUCCACCAAAACCCAUUAUAAAAGAUAGGGUUGAGAACCCCAAAGUUAUAUCGUUCACAACCUUCAAGGGUUUCAUCUUUCUUCGUCCUUCUCCUAUCAAUCUAUUCCAGAUCUCGUUAGAAACUCCUCUUUCUAACCUCGAUCGAUACCAGAUCUGUAUAGAUCGGAUGACGAUCUACACGCCGAUGGUGUUUUCAUCGAGAUCUGAAACUUCGCCGGUCCGAUCUACGUUGCAGAGGUGCGAUCUUCACGUUCGACAUAGUUUCUGGAGUCUGUUCAUAGAAAAGUCAAUUGUUCUUUCCUAAAUCGAAGCUUUGAAGCUAUUUUUUGCAGGUAUGGCGGUAGAUCGUUGAACAGAUCGUAGAUCCGGCGUUGAAUUGUUGAAUUAUGGAGAUUUCACCUUGAUGGUUAUAAUUAUGGAUGCAUCGGCUUCUGAUAUACAAGCUAUUGAUGUUGAUGGUGAAUUCGUAUUCAAAGAUGUUGCAAAUCUCAAAUUGUAUUAUUGUAUAUGAUGAUUGAGAGUUACGGGUAGGGUAAAAUAUAAUAUGGAUGUAGGAUGUAUCAGGAUUAUAUGCCUCGGCACGCUGAGUGUGUUGAGGAUUAAAUCCUGACUGAUCUUGUCAUCCGACCUUUGCCAUGUCAGGUGCGCUUGCUUGGCAGGUCAAAAAAAAUAAUAAAAAAAAAGUUUCGUUGGUUUUUGGGAGGAGAUCGCACGGGGAUUUUUGCCCGGGAUCUCUUUCCCCUGUGUGUGGUGUUGCCUUGCCUUGCUACUUUUCAUUAUGCCUCUUUAUUAUUACGUAUCUUGCGCUACUAUCUACGUUCCAAUACUCUGCACGGGAUGGAUUCAUCGAAGAUUUUCAACUACUACAUAACAAGGUAUCAUCUAUCGAAUUUCAUUCGAAUUAAUUAUUAUUGAUUUAAAUUUAGAAGUAAUUAAUCAUGCAGCUAAAAUUAGUUCUAAUUGAAAUUUAUUAGAUCAUCACAAAUGUUUCAUAGGUUUUCUUCAAGUCUAAAUUAUCUUUUGUUCAAAGUAUCAGACAUUUCAAAUCCAACUUAACUUCCUUAAAAUCAAGUCAGACAUUUCAAAUCCAAUUGGCUCCCUUUGAAUCAACCCAUAUCGACACGUUUGUUGUUUGAACAAUAUUAUUAUUAUUCAGCUUUCGCUUAUGGUUCAUCAGCAAUCUUCUACAUGAUCAAUUGUGCUAAUUAAUUUGGUCGAAUUUAAUUUGGUCCCUAAUUUGUUAUUAUAUUAUCAAGUUAUAUUAUUUACUUGGUUUCUUUCAAGUAUUAUACUUAUGAAUAUUACUACCAGUGGUUAAUCUCAUUUGAUCUGCCCAGUCAUGUUAAUCAGCUGUUGCUUUUGUAACAUAACAAAUGUAAAACGGAGUUUCAGCUUCGGCUGUGAACAAUUGUAUUGUAAUUCUAUAGUGCAGUGAUAGUUCCAAUCUCGAGAAUUGUGAGAAUCUGUUGUCAGCAAUUUAGCUCUGUAAAUGGAUCCGUUAUUUUGGAUAAUCUUGGACUAAGAUUGUCUUCCAGCAAGAGGAGUGUGUUGUAUAUCAGAGGAUCAUGAAGAUGCAACUGGUCUUAAUUUCAUUGAAGCAAUGCUGUGAUAUCAAGUCUUCUGUUAGAUCAUCCUCAUCAUUCAUUAAGGUGAAGAUGACUUCGGUUCCAUAUUUUAUGAUAAGCAAUGAAACGAACUGUUUCUUCAGUAUAAUUAAAUAAUUCAGUAAUGCAUUACAUACAUACUUCUAUGUUUUAUAGUUCUUUAUAAGCUUUUUAAUUGAUGUUAUGUCCCAAUGAUUAAUCCUGUUGUAUUGUCCGCCUAACAUAAUAUGAUCUUUGGAUUAUUCAGUUUA